CCUACGGGUGGCAGCAGUGAGGAAUAUUGGUCAAUGGACGAGAGUCUGAACCAGCCAAGUAGCGUGAAGGAUGACGGCCCUAUGGGUUGUAAACUUCUUUUAUAUGGGAAUAAAAUGGUCCACGUGUGGGAUUUUGUAUGUACCAUAUGAAUAAGGAUCGGCUAACUCCGUGCCAGCAGCCGCGGUAAUACGGAGGAUCCGAGCGUUAUCCGGAUUUAUUGGGGUUAAAGGGAGCGUAGGUGGAUUGUUAAGUCAGUUGGGAAAGUGUGCGGCUCAACCGUAAAAUUGCAGUUGAAACUGGCAGUCUUGAGUACAGUAGAGGUGGGCGGAAUUCGUGGUGUAGCGGUGAAAUGCUUAGAUAUCACGAAGAACUCCGAUUGCGAAGGCAGCUCACUGGACUGCAACUGACACUGAGGCUCGAAAGUGUGGGUAUAAAACAGGAUUAGAUACCCUGGUAGUC
rnacentral:rRNA from 1 species